GAAAUCUUUGCUUUUAUGCAGGUGCUCACACUAUAACUUAACAAUUCUGUAAGUGGACUCUGUAAGAAGAACGUAUAAACCUGCAGAAAGUCUAUGAACAGAUUAAAUAGUCCUGAUUAUUUUUCUUGCAGGAUACAAUGACAUGAAAACUGAGCUGAAGGACUUCCUGCAGAGAUUUGCAGCUGAAGGAAAAGUUGUGACAUCUGAUGACAUUCGUCAGUUCUUCGAGCAGCAGAGUCGUAAAAGACGCAGAGUUGAUGCCGGAGAGUUCUACUGCACCUGAUCCCCUCUGACCUCACCUCCAUCUGCUGAUCUUUCAUCCCUGAUUAAAUGGAACCUGUUGUGUGUUUCCCGUUUUAACUUUUCUAUAAAAUCUGUCUAACAUGUCGAACAACCUCUUUGUUUCUCAGUAUUGUUUCCUUUUUAAACAAUCUAAUAAAACAAUCUGAACAUGGCAA